rnacentral:lncRNA from 1 species
GGCUGUUCUUUGUCUUUAUUUUUAGGAAGUAAACCUGGAUAUCAGCAGUCAAGGUCGAGUGAGUGAGGUGGCCCACUUGUAUUAUGCCUGCAGGGGCUGAACCCCCUCAUGGACCAGCUGAUGGAGCCAGUUUAUCACCCUUGAGCUGCCCCUGUGAGGCUUCCAGAAGUAUUACAGGACUCUGUGGUGAAGCCUGUACCUUUUCUGUUUGAAGGUGCCAUCUGGGCAGCCUUUGGCAAUGGCUGAGGAGUUGUGGCGAGUCGGGGAGGGAGGGAGGAGCGAGGGUCCACUCGAGUUUCAGCAAUGCCACAUCACCUUGUCUCCCCUUAACCCAGGGAUACUCUGCGACGGCGGCCUCGGAGUGCAGCCCCAGCGUGUGAGCCGAGGACCGGGGUGUUCUCAGGAGCCGGUGAGUAGUGGAAUUGUUGGGUUUUGGCUGAUGUGCUGCUGAGUUCAGGCACUGAUGUUUGGUUUUCUUUAUUGCAGUAGACUGAGAGAACAGCCCUCUGAGGGCAGGAACUUCCCAGAUGAUGAGGCAGCUUUCUUUUGCACCUGAUGAGGAUUUGCAUCCCUGGAUAUCCGAGAGCUAAAUGCAGAUGGAUUGAAUCUGUGGCAGAGCGCCCCAUACCAGGCAGUAAUGCUGAAUAUCAGUGGUCAAGGUCGAUGGAGCGAGGUGGUCCACUGGGCAGGUGUCCCGGCCCUGGGAUGCUGGAGGCCAGGUGCUGCUGCUGCCCUGGGCAUGCCAAGGGACAGAGGCGAGCAGCUGCCCAAGUGGGCUGUGGGCCAUGUAUUGACAUCCAUGGUGCUGAAGCAUUCUUUUCUGUCGAGGAUGGAUUUCGUCUGCAGGUCUUCAGAGAGCUAAGUGUGGGGACUGUUGGUUGGGAGAAAGCAAAAACCUUUGGAAUCACAGGAGGCAAUUUGAAGUUAGCUGAGAGGAGAGGGCUGUAGUGGGCCAGGCCCCUUGGAGGUUAAGGGAGAGAGGGUUUCUCUUCAGCAUCACUCGAGCCUUUGCCGGGCCGGGCAGUUCCAACCCAUCUCCAUGUUCUUGUGAGCUUCGCAUCAUUGGAUGUUGAGUCUCGAUGUCAUUGUCCAUCUUUUCACCCGAGGAGCCUGCCUUCGGGUCUGGCAUGAUUGCCAUGGUCUAAAUUUUGCCUACUCUUCAGUGUAGCCAUGCUUUUGAGCACUUUUGAGCGUAGCACACGGGCAUCUUGCGUCUUGGCCAUUUGUUGGUUGGUCAUGUUUUGUGAUGUCACUUCAGCCUUUGGUGGCAGAAUCAUUCUCUAGGGAUCCCUUUGUAUCAGCUGGCAGUUGUUGCCUCCUUCUCUAGGCCUACUGCGCUUCUUGAGCAUCCUCUUACCAGCUUUAGCACUAACUUCUCAUAAGGAGUUUACCUUUCACUGU